UGGGGAAUAUUGCACAAUGGGCGCAAGCCUGAUGCAGCCAUGCCGCGUGUAUGAAGAAGGCCUUCGGGUUGUAAAGUACUUUCAGCGAGGAGGAAGGCGUUGUGGUUAAUAACCGCAACGAUUGACGGUACUCGCAGAAGAAGCACCGGCUAAAUCCGUGCCAGCAGCCGCGGUAAUACGGAGGGAGCAAGCGUUAAUCGGAAUUACUGGGCGUAAAGCGCACGCAGGCGGUCUGUCAAGUCGGAUGUGAAAUCCCCGGGCUCAACCUGGGAACUGCAUCCGAAACUGGCAGGCUAGAGUCUUGUAGAGGGGGGUAGAAUUCCAGGUGUAGCGGUGAAAUGCGUAGAGAUCUGGAGGAAUACCGGUGGCGAAGGCGGCCCCCUGGACAAAGACUGACGCUCAGGUGCGAAAGCGUGGGGAGCAAACA
rnacentral:rRNA from 1 species